rnacentral:lncRNA from 1 species
AUGGACGAGUGCACAGGUCCCCUCCCUCCAAACACCGUCUGCCAGCGAGGUGGUCUGGCGUUUGUGUCCACUAACACAUCUGGUCCAUGCGAGUUUGAAGCAGACACUUAUAUCCAAACCAAAAAAUGUACAGACAACACUGAUGUGUGUGAUUUCACCAGCGGUACGACUCCAUCACCUCUCAACAUCCCAGACAGUAGAAACCAGGACCAGGGAGGCUCUAGAACACACUACAUCCUGGUAGUGGUCCUUGUCACAGGUGUAGUACUGGUGCUACUGGUAGGACUAGCUCUGUAUUGGAGGGAACCAGAGAGACAAAUCAACAGCCACGAAGGGACCUGUCCAGUCAGACUCACUGCUUGUCUUUGCACUGUGGGAGGAAGCCUGAGCCCUCGGAGAGACUUCACACACACAGCAGAACAUGGAGACUCCACACAGACGGGCGGAACUUAGUUUACUCAUUUUGUUUUGUAAAAAAAUUGAUCAAUCCUACAAUGUUAAAAUGAAGGAAAGGACAGACAGAUGUCACUCCUGAUGCUACAACAGACACCAAAAACACACCAGUGACUCUCAGGCAGCUGUAUGUAGGACAGUACAGUACAGCUCCGUUCUGGGGCUGCCUCUUGAUUCAGUGCAGGAGGUGGGAGAAAGAGGUGGUAGCUAAGUUAUCAUCCAUGAUGGAGAACGAUGCAACUGUUGUAACUGUUGCUAGAAUUGUCACCUUAUACUGUGGUCACCACACAUCUGUUUGGGCAAACUUUUACAUUGUGCAACAUCCGAUCAACCCAUGGUGGAAUUACCCAAUACCUCAGUGUGCACGUGUGUGUGUGUAUAUAUAUAUAUAUAUGUGUGUGUGUGUGUGUGUAUAUGUAUAUGUAUAUAUAUAUAUAUGUAUAUAUGUAUAUAUUUAAAAUUUUAAUUAAAUUGUAAAUAAUCUUUACUCUGGUCUUGUUUUGUACUGAUGCUGCAACAUGGAAAUUUCUCCACCGUGGGACGAGUAAAGGUCUAUCUUAUCUGAUCUUAUUAACUCACAGUCAGAUGGACAUAGGCGUUACAGUGUGAUUCCAGUGCUCAGCCACUAAUGUGUUUACUUGCAUCCAUGGAAAUGCCCCACAAUAUCUUAAUCUUCACACCACAAUCUACAACAAGACACCUUGGCUCCACAAAUACUUAGCAUCUCUGGUCCCCUAGGACCAAACUGCACACAAUGGGAGAUGGCGCUUUCUCAGUGGCUGCUCCACAGACCUGGAAUGUUCUACCUGAUAACCUGAGAGCCC